UACGUAGGGUGCGAGCGUUGUCCGGAAUUAUUGGGCGUAAAGAGCUCGUAGGCGGUGUGUCGCGUCGGCCGUGAAAACCUGCAGCUUAACUGUGGGCGUGCGGUCGAUACGGGCAUCACUGGAGUUCGGCAGGGGAGACUGGAAUUCCUGGUGUGGCGGUGAAAUGCGCAGAUAUCAGGAGGAACACCGGUGGCGAAGGCGGGUCUCUGGGCCGAUACUGACGCUGAGGAGCGAAAGCGUGGGGAGCGAACAGG
rnacentral:rRNA from 1 species